AAAUAAUUCAAAAAAGGGAAUAAAGCUAUGAAGAUUGCGUACUAAGCUGAGAAGUACGUUUUAUUGAAGGUUAAAUGCAAGUUGAGAAGUGACGCUUGAAUAUCCAAAAGCUAAGGAAGUAGCGGUUGUCAAAGGUCAGACAGUUAGUACAAUCAAAAUUCGGCAAAAAAGAUUCAAUUUAGAAAACGAAAAGUAAAGAGGAUUUGGUACGGAAAAAAUUACUAUG